UACGUAGGGGGCAAGCGUUGUCCGGAUUUAUUGGGCGUAAAGAGCGUGUAGGCGGCUUGGUAGGUCUCGCGUCAAAACCUGAGGCUCAACCUCAGUUCGCGUGGGAAACCACCUAGCUAGAGUCCGGAAGAGGAGAACGGAAUUCCCAGUGUAGCGGUGAAAUGCGCAGAUAUUGGGAAGAACACCAGUGGCGAAGGCGGUUCUCUGGGCCUUACCUGACGCUGAGGAGCGAAAGCGUGGGGAGCGAACAGG
rnacentral:rRNA from 1 species